rnacentral:rRNA from 1 species
UACGUAGGGGGCAAGCGUUGUCCGGAAUCAUUGGGCGUAAAGCGCGUGUAGGCGGUUCAGUAAGUCUGCUGUGAAAGUCCAGGGCUCAACCCUGGGAUGCCGGUGGAUACUGCUGGGCUAGAGUACGGAAGAGGCGAGUGGAAUUCCCGGUGUAGCGGUGAAAUGCGCAGAUAUCGGGAAGAACACCGAUGCGAAGGCGAGCUCGCGUGGCCUUACCUGGACGCUCAGGCACGAAAGCUAGGGGAGACGAACAGGAGUUAGA